UUUUAGUCAUAUUUAUAUAAGGUCUGGCCUGCCCAAUGAGGGGUUGAAUGGCUGCGGUAUUCUAACCGUGCUAAGGUAGCAUAAUUAUUUGUCUUUUAAUUAAGGGCUUGUAUGAAAGGUUGGAUGAAGUAAUAACUUUCUUUAAUUUAAUUUAUGAAUUUAAUUUUUAGGUUAAAAAGCUAAAAUGUUUUUAUAGGACGAGAAGACCCUAUAGAUCUUUACAGUUUGUUAGGUAUAAUGAUUUGGUGAAUUACUUAUUAUUAUUUAGUGAUUUUGUUUGAUUGGGGUGAUUGUGGAAUUCUUUUAACUUCCAUUAUUUUUUUUCAAGGGUUAUUGUUUUUUUGAUCCAUUAGUAAUGAUUAGAAGAUUAAG
rnacentral:rRNA from 1 species